rnacentral:rRNA from 1 species
CGGGUGAGGAACACGUGAGAAAUCUGCCUUCAACACUGGGAUAACUCCGGGAAACCGGGGCUAAUACCGGAUAUGAAACCUGCGGGCAUCCGCGGGUUUGGAAAGUUUUUCGGUUGAAGAUGAUCUCGCGGCCUAUCAGCUUGUUGGUGAGGUAAUGGCUCACCAAGGCGACGACGGGUAGCCGGCCUGAGAGGGCGACCGGCCACACUGGGACUGAGACACGGCCCAGACUCCUACGGGAGGCAGCAGUGGGGAAUAUUGGGCAAUGGAGGAAACUCUGACCCAGCGACGCCGCGUGCGGGAUGAAGGCCUUCGGGUUGUAAACCGCUUUCAGCAGGGAAGAAGCGAAAGUGACGGUACCUGCAGAAGAAGCACCGGCUAACUAUGUGCCAGCAGCCGCGGUAAUACAUAGGGUGCAAGCGUUGUCCGGAAUUAUUGGGCGUAAAGAGCUCGUAGGUGGUUCGUCACGU